AUGAAAGGAGAGAUCAGCAAGACAUACCUGAUGAAAAACCUUUCUGGUAUCUUCUGCAAAAACAAACAAUGGACAUGGCAAAUCAGGCCACUGUCAGAAAAGAAGUUCCUGGUUAGACCCCCCUGGAAAGAUGUUGAUGAAUUGAUUGAGUUCCUUGCUUUUGAUCUACCCAUUGAUGGUGUCUCUGUGUCUGUGGAAAAAUGGACUGGCUCAAUUGACCCAUUCAGUGAACUUACUGAAGCCUGGGUGAUUGUUGAGGGGCUGUCCUCUAAAUGGUGUACAUGGAAAGUGCUAUCUCAAAUAGCCUCAUGCUUUGGAAUUCUUGUAGAUGUCGACUGGAAUGGCCUGAUGAAGAGCUUCUAUGAGAAAGUGAGGAUCAAAAUUGCCUGCAGAGGCCCAACAAAAAUCCCCUUUGAAAGAAUUAUGGAGAUGAGGAAAAAACUGUAUAUCCUAUCCUUCACUGUGGAGGGCUUUGACCAGGUGGGUGCUGAUGACCCCAAUGAUGAUGAUGGCCCCACUGAUAUAACAAUAGAUGAGGACAACAAG
rnacentral:rRNA from 1 species